AACAGCGCGAAGGUAAUUAAAUUACCUUCGCACUGUUCAAAUGCAAUUUGAACACAGAAGAGCAAAAACAAAUGGAAACGGGCGCACCUGUUUCUGGAGAUUGCGAAGAAGGCUGCAACGCUGGUGGGGUUCGACUGCUUUCCGUUUCUGGCGAUGGUGAAGAAGGCUGCAACGCCGGUGUGGGUUCGACUGCUUUCUGUCAAUAACCGAUGGUUCGGUGAUCAAUUGUUUUCUUGCAGGGAUGAAAACAGGGCUGAUCCGUGACUCCCCUCUGCCUUUCUCUCCUUUUCUGUGGACGAAGACAAUAGCAAGGCUGAUUCUUCUCUGUGUUGCCCCUCCCCUUUCUCUCCUUCUCUCUGUGAAUUUGUGCCUUUUUUACUCUGUAUUUCUGCUCUGUUUUUUUUUUAGCUCUGGCUCUUCGUCUGGUUUCUGGGUUUUA